rnacentral:lncRNA from 1 species
AAAAAUCUUGUAUGCGACUCGAGAAUCAGAUUCUCACUCUAUAUUCAUGGAACUUUCUCGUUUAUUCUCUUUUGGAACUCCCGAAUUGCACUUGGCAAACUUUCUUCACAUGAUCACCACUAUGGCAGAAUCAGGUUCCACUGAGGAGCAAACUGAGGAUUUCAUUAUGAAUAGCCAAAAAAUGGCUAAGCUUCCUGCUGGUGAAUCUGUUUGGUCACUUGCAAAUGUUCCAUUGUCCAAAGAUGGUGAGAUAGGGCUGAUGAGUUCUUCUAGAACAGUUGAUGAGAAAACCCCUAUGAAUUUCCAGAAGAGAUCAGGAAUCAGCUCAAACUGGCCCCCUUCAGACUGGAAAACUGCUCCUGGUAGUGCAGCAAAGUCACUGGCUGCCAGUGGUAUCAAAAUAUUUGCACAGGCUCCAACUGAGAUCACUAAUGUGGAGAAUGUGGACAAUGAUCGAGCAUCAGCUGCAGCUACUGUGAAAAUGACAUUUGAUCCUCCUCAUUCCAUGACUAUACCACAUGACUUGAAUUAUACUUCAGCAGAUGUGGCACAAAGAGAUCAUCUGUAUGUAGGCACAACUGACCCUCAACAGGCAUUGUUAACUGGCAGACUCGGAGAAUUUGUUGCUUUCAAGUACUUUGUGGGGAACCAUGGUGAGCCUUUUGUGAAAUGGGUCAAUGAAACUAAUGAAACAGGGCUUCCCUAUGACCUUGUUGUGGGAGAUGAUGAAUACAUAGAAGUAAAGGCCACUAGAGCAACAGGAAAGGAUUGGUUUCAUAUUACCUCGAGAGAAUGGCAGUUUGCAGUUGAGAAAGGUGAAUCUUUUAGCCUUGCCCAUGUUGUGUUAUCACCUGAUAAUACAGCAAUGGUGACGGUAUACAAAAACCCAGUCAGCCUCUGUCAGCUUGGUAAACUUCAGUUAGCUCUCACGAUACACAAGUCGUGAAACUUUUUAAGAUGUACAUUUGGGUGAUUAACUAAUUCAUCAUAUUUUAAAAUUGACUUCGUAAGACUAUCUUCAAUUCUUUGAGGUGUCUUUUGGACAUUUCAAGCUCAAGCAUAUUAGAUUAUCAAAUAAUUAAAUUUAAAAAGACACUGUAUUAACUUUAAAGACCUUCUAAACGGUAACAAAAACUAUGGUUUAAAAGAAAGAAAAAUGACAUUAAUAUUUUUUUAAGGUAUAGGUGGUUGAGGUAGGAAUUGGUGGCAUAAGGAAAAAAAUUGAUUUUUUUAAAAACAUUUUUUUUUGGGAAAGGGCUGAGGGGAGGGGGCUGAUAGGGGUGGGGUANNNNNNNNNNNNNNNNNNNNNNNNNNNNNNNNNNNNNNNNNNNNNNNNNNNNNNNNNNNNNNNNNNNNNNNNNNNNNNNNNNNNNNNNNNNNNNNNNNNNNNNNNNNNNNNNNNNNNNNNNNNNNNNNNNNNNNNNNNNNNNNNNNNNNNNNNNNNNNNNNNNNNNNNNNNNNNNNNNNNNNNNNNNNNNNNNNNNNNNNNNNNNNNNNNNNNNNNNNNNNNNNNNNNNNNNNNNNNNNNNNNNNNNNNNNNNNNNNNNNNNNNNNNNNNNNNNNNNNNNNNNNNNNNNNNNNNNNNNNNNNNNNNNNNNNNNNNNNNNNNNNNNNNNNNNNNNNNNNNNNNNNNNNNNNNNNNNNNNNNNNNNNNNNNNNNNNNNNNNNNNNNNNNNNNNNNNNNNNNNNNNNNNNNNNNNNNNNNNNNNNNNNNNNNNNNNNNNNNNNNNNNNNNNNNNNNNNNNNNNNNNNNNNNNNNNNNNNNNNNNNNNNNNNNNNNNNNNNNNNNNNNNNNNNNNNNNNNNNNNNNNNNNNNNNNNNNNNNNNNNNNNNNNNNNNNNNNNNNNNNNNNNNNNNNGGGGGGGGGGGAGGGCAUCGGAGUAGUAAAAGAAAAAUUAAUUUUGAGGCGUUGGAGUUGGGGAUGGGCGGGUUAAAUUUAAAGUUUAAAGUAUUUUUAUUUUGUGUUUGGGGGAGGGGGGGAGGAGUGGAGGGAAUGAAGAGUGGGGUAAGAGAUUUUGUUUUUGAAGCUUUAAACAUGACCCCUAUAAUAAUAUGGAUACCCUUGUUAUUCAUUAUGUAACUCGUUUUUAUUCAUUUAAAAUAUGAGUUGAGUCGAGUGUUUAACUCGUUUUUUAUCGACUCAUACUCGACUCGCUCGUUUGCCACUCAUAGUAAUAUCUAUCACAUUUAUCUACUUGCAUUAUACCCCUCAUUCUAUCCAUUGAUGUGGAGACUUCUUCACCCAUAAAUAGUGAUGUUUCUUUCUUUGUGAAGCAUCCCAAGAAAAAUGUCAAGUGUGAAAAAUAUUGUAGUGGAUAGUAAUGAAAAAAAAAGGUUGAGACAAAGGAAAUAUUCUAAGUUUUCAACUAUAUUCGCUAUAUAAAAAGAGAGUAAUUAUAGGUUGAAGGAAGGUGUUUUUGUUGUGGAGUUUUGGACUCUUUAACUAAUUCGAAAUUGCUUGAGUUGUACGAUGUUGUUGGACUGUUGUAUCUUCGAGGGGACAAGUCAAGAGAUAUAUUACUGGAUCAGAAUAUGCCGCCGUGGACUUGAAUCUCCUUAAAGAGAGCGAGAUAUUCGCAUCUCAUCCUAAAGUUUUAUUUAUACAUUUUUAUUAUUUUAUUUUCAACUAUAAUUUAUUAUAUUUAUAAUAUAUUACACCAAUAAUAAUAAAGUAUAUCUUCUAGGUGUUUUUUUUAAUGAACGCGAAAUGAGCUAAAACGCACUUAUUCCGGACAGAACAGACAUUGCUACAUAGGCAAAGCCCGGCUGUCAGUAUAAAAGGUCCACUCUCAUUUACUUAUGUCUACUGUCAAAUUAGUCAACGAAUCAUUAGUUCUCAAUUUUGUAUGUCAGAGAUAUUCUUAAACCCUUUUCUAUAAUGUACGGACGGCCACCGUACAACGGCGGCGGCUGGCACGGAGCACAACCACCGUUCAACGGUUGGCCUCGAGCAGAACCACCGUACAAUGGCGGAGGCAGCAGCUGGCGUGGUGCAGAACCACCGUUGUACGGCAGAGGCAGCGGCUGGAACGGGGCGGCGCCACCACCACCACCACCACUAGGGUACCAAAGCCCUCAUGUUAAUCAUCAUCCUCAAUCUCCAAAUUUGUUCCAUCCAUCAAAUAACCCUAAUUUCCCGGUUCAAAAUCCUAACUUUCGGGGUUUUCCGGUUCAAACGAAACCCAGGUUCCAAUUCCAGCGGCCUCCUCCUCCUCCGCCACCACCUCAGGCUAAGAGUUCCUCCAAUUCUGGUGAGAUUGUUCUCAAAGUUGAUAGAGCUGUAAAGAAGGCGCGGCGAGACCUUGUAGAGGCUGGUGAAACUGUAUCUACUUGGAAAGUUUCUCAAGCUGCAUUGGCUAUAGUUAAAGCUGAUUCCUGGGAGUCUUUAGGUGUCAAAAUGCAGAAUGUACCCUCUCUCCAUAGCCUCAUACUUAUCGAAGGGAAGGUACAUCUCCGUGCUCUAAUCGCAAAAUAAGUCACUUUAGCUCAUUUCACGCCCAUUAAAAAAAAGGUAUAAUUCACUGAGCAACCUAUAUAAUUGAGCACUAAAGAAGUAGUUUCUUAAUAUAGAAGUAUAAUUGGAAAAAGAUACUAAGUUUUGUCUUGAAUUCUUAAGGUUGACACUUAUUUUAGAACAAUUUCUUUUUGCUUAAGUGACUUAUUUAGGGACUGAGGGAGAGUACAUCUUUGUGAGGUUUAUCUACCUUUUGGUAUACUUCUUGUAUAUCAGUAUUUGUGCCCAUCAUUAAUGAAAUUUUAUUACUUUUUCAAAAGAAAAAUGUUUUAGACUACAAUGAACGUUAAUCUGUCAUAUGGUUAUUUCUUUGACAUUUGGCAGCAAAUGUAUCAACUUAGUGUUGAAUGGUUUGAAUUCCUACUAGCCAUUUGCUAAUUUGAAUGAUGUUAAAUUCAAAAAAUAAAUUUUGUAAUGUGAGAAUUCAUCAUCAAUGAGUUUUACAUUUGUGGGUUUGAGAUAGGCAAUAUGAGUAAGCUCACACAAGCAGAGUUUAUCAGCUUAGCAUAUAACAGAAAAAUGAAUUUGCUAACUUCGUUGAGCUACUUCUAUGUUUUUUAACUCAAGAUUUAAUAAGCAAUAUAAAAUGUUCUCACAUGAUUUAGCAUUCAGUUUCAACUUUCAUGCACUCUUAUUUGAGUAGCAUUGUAACGCUUUCUGUAUCUGUUUUUCUUCUUUCAUUUGAAAAAUUAAUGCCAAAUGAGUUUACCAUGUGGUUCUUUGAUUUUUCAGAUCAGCAGGAUUGUUAUGAAUAUCAUUCAAAUGCAGUCAUAUUACCCUGUGCUUCCUUUUGAUUUGAUCCCCCACCUUCUUCUUCCUUUUUCCAGUUUGUGUUUUGGAGGCUAGCUUCAGUUCAUCUGCUUUUGGAUGUUGUACAACUAUUAUGGCCUUGUUUUGACCUUACUUACCCCUUUCUCUUAAAAAGAAAACUAUAUGCACUGUUUUUGGUCUUUUACAUCUGUUGAUGUGCCAUUUGACCCCUUGAGCAACAUUCUAUUUCCACCUACAACCCUUCAAAUGAGGGGUGGGGUGCAUUAUUUUCAAGUUGAAGGGAAGAGGUUAAUGAAUCAAUCUUCUCAAAGCAAUUUGAAAUUGGAGUGAAGCGGUGGGAGUCAUCAAUCAUUAGUGCCAUUUUGUAUUUGUUGCAUUGCUGUUAAUUAAAUUUAUAGUUGGAUGAUUUAUUUGCCUUUUUUUUUUGUCUCCAUUUGAGAUAUUCACUGGAAUACUAAAAUUCAUCUCCCGAUCUCUUCUUCCCUAGAUUGUUGCUUUCAUCCACUGCUUUGUCGCUGUUCUAAGAGUUACCACAUUGUAUGAUUUGGAAGUUGCCAUAUGCAAGAAUGAGGGUAUUGAGCAGUUUGAAAAGCUGGAAUUGGGUCCUCUGCUGAAACAUCCGCUUAUAAUUCAUUACUUUUCUGUAAAUCCUGGUGUGUCAGAAGUUUUCAAAAUAACACAUGAGGAGAUAAUGUCCUUCCUUUCUGAGUUUAUGGAUGGUAAUGGAAGUACAGUUAUGAAAGUAGAUGAACUUUUGAACUUCAUUGCUGAGAAGAAGUCUGCUGGAUCCAGAGAGAAGCUUGGUGUGCGAAUUCAGAGCUUGGGGUAUGUGGUAUAUUUUCACCCAUACAAAAUCUUAUUUACGUGCAAUUUGUCAAUUUGAUAUUUGUUGAAAAUAUUAUUUUUUUGAGAAAGGUAACUUGUAUUAUAAACAAAAGAAUACAUAAGGAGUAUUCUAGUAAUACUUACAUCCAAAAGUUGCAAAAAGCAAAGAACUCCUAUGGAGGUCAUAAGAACUCUAAAAUACUAGGAAUAUCCUCUGCAUCUUGAGGAUAUUCAUGUUUACACCAAAAAAAGAAAAAGAACCACGCAAUUCAGCUUGUUGCAACUAUUAAUGCUUAAAACCUUUGAAGAUCGUAAAUUGGGGUGUGAGGAAUAAGUAAAAAAUUCAAAAGAAUUAAUUCUCUUUUUCCAUCAUUUUGGAAAUUUGUCAAAACUGUUCCUCAAAAUUACCUUUAUUAUUUUUCGUUCCUGCUUUAAUUAUUCAAUUAAGUAUUAACAAUAUUUUUAUGAAGUAAUAUGUUGUAUUGCUGGCAUCAAGACGAUGCUAAGAUUACAAAAGUGAUGUUAGCUCUAAAGACAAAAAGUUCUAUAAGCAUUGGGAGCUAACCAAAAGCAAAAGGAGGCUGUUAAGUCAGCUCAGAGAGCUAAUGAAAUCUACAAAAGAAACUACAUCAUUUACAGGCAUAUAAUACUCCAACUAAAAAGCUGUAGCAGGCAUCUAGCAAAUACUGAUUAGGAGAUUCUAGCAAUGAUAUUUGUUGUAUAAAUGUGAUAAUGUAAAAUAGGAGAGAGGAGUACAACCUUCUGCAUGGUAUAGAACCUUUUACAAGAAAGGGGGGGGGGGGGGGGGGGGGGUGGGUGGGGGGGGGGGGGGGGGGGGGAGGAAGUAUUAACAAUAUUUUUAUGAAGUAAUAUGUUGUAUUGCUGGCAUCAAGACGAUGCUAAGAUUACAAAAGUGAUGUUAGCUCUAAAGACAAAAAGUUCUAUAAGCAUUGGGAGCUAACCAAAAGCAAAAGGAGGCUGUUAAGUCAGCUCAGAGAGCUAAUGAAAUCUACAAAAGAAACUACAUCAUUUACAGGCAUAUAAUACUCCAACUAAAAAGCUGUAGCAGGCAUCUAGCAAAUACUGAUUAGGAGAUUCUAGCAAUGAUAUUUGUUGUAUAAAUGUGAUAAUGUAAAAUAGGAGAGAGGAGUACAACCUUCUGCAUGGUAUAGAACCUUUUACAAGAAAGGGGGGGGGGGGGGGGGGGGGUUGUGUGUGUGGUGAUUCAAUCAAGUAGACACAAAAUUACCCAUGUGAUAUUACUGGUAAUACUGCACUCAGAGAGAGAGAGAGAGAUGCUACUAACCUCUCACAACAAUUUUUUUUAAUGCUAACUCUUGAAAAUUCAUGUUCCUGUCAUCAUUGAUGUUGCACUCCUGAGUUCAAACUUAAUAAGUCAUGUUAUUUGCUUCUUGUUUCCCCUCUCUCUCUCUCAAUAAUUUACUUAAAAUACUGUAGGAAUGCUUAUACCUUUUUCUUUUCUUCAAAGUGUUUUUGUUUGGCUUGCUGAAUUAAAGUGCCCAAUUUGAUUGAGGAUCAUCUCAAUGAUGAGGGUAGGACAUAAACGAAAUGGUUAUCUUCCAAUUUUCUCCAGGAGUUGCAGAUAAUGAUGCUUUUUCUGUUUCUUCAAUUGUUCUUUGUUUGUUUUAUGGUUACUUCUCUUUGCAUGUUCUUCCACGUGUCUGCUAUCCGCAUGGAUCACUUUUUAGAUUAUUAGCACAUCUUGUUGCAGUAAUGAAAAGAUCAUCAGGUCCUUGUCAACAUAAAGAGAGGAAGACAGUUUGGCGUGCAGCUAUAUGGUUAUCCCUUUAUUUUUGAUAUUAUGGAAGGACUGAUCUUCUAUCUUCGUGAUUUAGUAUUAACCUUUUAACCAACAUAAAUUUCCUUUCAGAAUUAGAUUCACCUUUUAGCCAAAAUAAAUUUCCUUAGUGUCUUUGCGGAGUUGAAGUUCUGAGGUUUCUUUUUCUUCUAUAAAUUUUCUUGAACCAUGAUGAAUCAAAUGUUCCAGUUAAACUAUUGGACUUUUUGAGGUUGUAAUGUGAUAUACUGUUGCGUUGUGGAUUAAUUGAGAAAUGUAUGACUGAAAUUUCUCCUUUUAGCCAAUGUAAAUUUCCUUAAUGUAUAUGCAUCGUUGUUAAGUUCUGAGUUUCCUUCUUUUUCUUCUAUGAUUUUUUCCCAAACCAUGAUGAAUCAUAUGUCCCAGUUUGUUAUUGGACUUUAUGAAGUUUUGAUGUGAUAUCCUAUUGUGGUGAUGACUAAUUGAGACGUGAUAUUACUAAAGUGUAAAGAUGCAACUUCCUCCUUUGAGACCUUUGUCCCAUCUUUUAAAAGUUAAAUAGUUAUCUUUGCCACCUAUUUGUAUUAUAUCUGAUCUUUCAGUGUGAAUAUAUGAAGCUUGAUAAAAUUUAGUAAAUCCUGGUGGAGAAUGGCUUUAUCCUUUUUCUUGUCUUCGUCAAAACUUUGUUAACUUGUUCUAUGUACUUUAAACACAUGUUACUCAUGCUUCUUCUGCUAUCUCAGAAUCUUAUCAUUAGUGUUUCCUCAUCUCUACUCCUUCCUUGUCCCUUUCAGGAUGCAUAUUACAUUUAUCCAGCAAGCAAGGCUGUUUGAAACUAGUGCCAAGAACAAAUAUAUGCAUACGGUGAAAAAAGAGCCCAGUAAAAUUAUUAGGAAACGUCCUAUUCUAUCUGCACAGAAGAAGCAGUUAGAUAAGAAUUUCAUUUCCAUAUCAUCAGAUUCAGAAGAUACAAGCAGUGACAGUGAUCAAGAUGAAACUGAAAACACUAAAAGUUCAGAGGAACCACACAUAUCUCCUUACCCAUCAGCAUCUGUUGAAAUGAAGCCAUAUGGUUUGAAAGCUGAAGUUGAGGAGUUGGAUGAGAAUUUCACUUCCAUCUCUGAACGCAUCACAUCAUUUUCUUCAGCUAAUGGGGAAUUUUGUGGUAAACACAUAAGAUUUAUAUCAUCAGAUUCAGAGGAUGCAAACAGUGAUGGUGAUCAAGAUGAAACUGGAAACAUAAAAAAUUCAGAGCAACCAAGCAUAUGUCCUUACCUAAACGCAUCUGAAGAAAUGAUGCCACUGGGUUUGGAAACUGAAGUCAAGGUUAGCUUACACACAACAAGUGGCAGUGAUAUAUAUAGUAAGGAUAUUAGUCAAUCUGACAGUACCUUUCGCUCCCUUUUGGAUAAGACCGAGCGUUAUCUCAGGCAAUCCAAGAGAAAACGAAAAUUUGAUGAUAUUCAGAGUCUCAUGGCUUCUCACACAGAAGUAGUCAAAAGAAAAGUGGUUCAGACAAAGCCUUUUACUCGUAGGAAGGGAACAAAAAUUUCUCCGUUGGGGAAUCAAGACUCAAAUGGUUCAAGCGAUUCAUCACAAGGCAAUGAUUCAAUUAAGAUGUUUGUUAACACUUGGAAAGAGGCAUGUCGGACAAAUGAUGUAGAUGAGGUAUCAAUUAUGCAGUUUUUACUGUUUUUCUGGUCUAGUGGAUAAAUGAACUUGUCCUACACCGGUCUCUCUUUUUUUGUACACUUUUGCCUUUAGCAUCACCCUGAUGCUCUUUAAUGAAAUCCUUUACUUCAUCAAAAAAAAAAGUAAAAAAUGAAGUCAAUCCAAACACCCCCUAAAAAAGGUUCACCUUCUUCAAAAAAUUAAUUGAUCUAUUCUUUAAGAUCUACUUUCAUUUGGAACACUGUAAAACUUGAACUCAUACAUUACAAUUUUUGAUAAACUAGAAUGGGACACCUAACUUGAGACACAGUGGGAAUACAUUCAUUGCAUUGGAUAUCCUGAUGUUGUUUUUGGAAGCCUUUUAUCAGAAAUGUGUGCUAUUUUUUGUGGUUCUUUUAAUUUGAUAAUUUGUAUCUACCCUACCCAAGCCUACCCUACUACAAGCUUGAAAAAACAUUGAAGGAAUAAGUUCUCUUUUUAGGAAAGUGGGCAUUGGCACAAUUUAAAGAUAAUCCAAACUAGAAACUAGUCCAGUUAACUUGGGAAAGUAUUACAUCUUACAUCUAACGGUGUAGGAAAAGUUCAUGGAGGACCUCCUCAUCAACUUACGGCUUCUUUCUACCCAUUCAUACCACUCUGCAUUCUCCAAAUUCCAUCUUGUAAUAUCAAACGACUUGAAUCAAGCAUUGAAAUAGAUCCUGUUUUCUCCCAUUGUCAGAUGUUGACAGUCCAAUACAUAUGCUGACUUCAGGAACUUUUUCUUUCUAGUUUAGGUUUUUGAAAGGAUGCUUCAGUUCUAUAAAGUGAAGAAGAAAGCUAAAGUGACGACAUUGUUUUCAUCAUUUCCAUUUUGUGGGUUGCUUCAAGUUGCUGUAAGUUUACUGAUCAGUUGUGUUAGUAAUUAAUGAACUUUAGACGCCUGAGAGAUAUCUGCUUGUUCAUGGAAGAUGUAAAAUUCUAUGUGUUAAGUAAACCUCUUUUGAAUCCAUAACCUCUUUAAUUCUUUUUUAUGCAGGCAGUUUUCCCCUAGUGGCAUUCUACUUCCUGUAGUUUUACUAAUUAGUUUCUUGCCUGAAUAUCCCUUGUAUAACUUUUUCUUAUAUAGUAUAAUGUGACUUUGCAGGUUACAUCUAUUCAACAUGGGAUGUGGGAUAGUUUGUAUGAUAAGCUCCAAAUGUUUAAACAAUUUGAGUUAACCAGUACAGGUGCUGAAAAUUGUGUUAAUUCCAUAUGCAUUGAGGUUGAAUCACCUGAAAGGGGUGCUACCAAUCACUCUGAUAGGCUCUUGGUGUGUGAAAGUGGUGAGUUAUACACCACCAAGAUUUUUGUUUUACCUGUAAGGAUUCGUAACUAAUCGUCAAGGUUUUCUCAUCAAAAUUCUUGUAUGUAAUAUGCGCUCAGCCACUACUUGAAAAUGAAAAAGGGGAAAGAAGUCUAAGGUACCUGAAAUUAGAAUUGUCUGGACUCUGGCCUGAAUAUCACUUUUCUGAUUGGUUGAAGAUUUACGUAGGAUAAUGUAUGUCUCUGCUAGAUUCAAGUAGUGUUUUUGAAUAGCUCUGCAAAGUGACCUUUAUGUUUCUCUAGCUAAACAGAUGCAAAAAAAGCCUGUUAUUACCUACUUUCUCAGAAAAGAAUUUUUUUUCUCUUAAUUCUGCUAAUACCAUGAUUAAAUUCUCUCUUUUGAUAAGUUAACAUGACUAAAGUUUCUAUGCUCAGAUUUUUCAUUAAAAUUUCUUUUGGAGUUUCCUGUUUACCCUUCCUCCAGUGGAUUGCUUACUUUUCCAUUAAUUUGUCUGAUUACAUAGGUUUCACCGUUGGGGACAUAAUUGGUAAAAUUUCUACAUAUUUUGAGGGUGGUGAUGAUGCCUGGUCCACUGCAAGUUCACACCAUGAGAAGUUUUUCUUCCUCUUGAAUAAGUUUUGCAAGCUUGAAUCUUGGUUGACAGAGCAGUUUUCUGUCAAGCAAUUUGAGUCACUUGGUUAUGGGGAUAUCUGGUCCUUCCUGGAGAAAAAUAUGCACCUGUUUAGUCAUACUUUACCAAGUUGCUUAACAGGUGACAUGCAUGAGAAACCUUCUCUGGUACCUUCAAUGCUUGAUUAUCAGUUUGAUCUGUUGUUAUCUCAGGCUUCACAAUGCUUAUGGGAGACUGAAGAAGUAGGCAAGCGAAGAAUCUCUGAGUUACUAAUGAGACAAUUUCCUUUAGUCUGUUUAAAAGUAGCUGGAAGUGACUUAAUGAUGGGUGUCGAGGGUUUUAUGAAGAUAAAUAAAGGUGAUAUGACCUUAAAAUCUGUUGUAUUCUCCGGAACACUGCUCAAGGAAGAUGCAGUAGGAAGAUUUCACAAAAAUAUGUUAGAGAAAAUGGGUUUAGAGAAUGGUGAAGGAAACGGAGCUCGUAUAGUUAUGUCCAAAGAAGCCAAGAAAGUCUUGCUAAAAAGUCCAAUGUUGAUAGAUCUGAACUUGUGGUCACAUUGGGAUGUUGUGUUUGCUCCUUCUCUAGGUUCUCUUGCGGGUUGGCUGUUGAACGAGGUAAGUACCAAAGAGUUGUUAUAUUUGGUGACUGCAUGCGGGAAGGUUGUCCGUGUUGAUCAUUCAGCCACUGUUGAUUCUUUUCUGAAUGUACUGCUGCAAGGAAAUCCUUUUGAUACUGCUGUCAAACUGUUAUCUCUUUUGGUCUUAUAUGGUGGUGAAAAAAAUGUUCCUUUUUCACUUCUAAAAUGCCAUGCACGUCAUGCAUUUGAAGUUUUAAUUGAACAUUAUGAGGAAACAAAAUCACAGGAUCCCCUCAAGGAUACUAAAUUUAUGUCUAGACAGGUUAUAAAUGAUAGAAGUACAUUCACUAUAAACAGCAAGGUACCGAGGAGUGAUAGGGUGGAUAGUGCCAUGUCUUUUGUGUCAAGAUUUGUACUUGAUUGUCUGGGCUAUCUGCCAGUUGAGUUUUACUGUUUUGCUGCAGACAUAUUGCUUGCAGGAUUGCAGCCAUUUGUCAAAGAUGCCCCUUCAGCUAUCUUAGGUGAAUGUGAAUGCGUAGAGCAGCGUCUUAUGCUUCAUCGAGUUGGAAUGUUGCUUGGCAUAAUGGAUUGGGUUGACGAUAAACAGAAGUUGGCUUCCAGUUCUGCCUCUAGCUUGUUAAUGUCUUCUGGAUCAUCAUGCUUGGGAGUCACAGAGCUUGAUCUCAGCGAAGACUCAACCGUUAUGCAUGUAGUGUCAAACAAAUAUCCCUUGUCUAGAAGUGGAAUUAGCCUCUCACCCGAUCCAAUGCGGCAAGAUGAAAAUCAAGAAGCCUGCUGCUCUGCUGUUGUAACUAAUGUCCAUCUUGAUAAUUUGGCUGGUUAUGCCAAAAUGCACUCAUGUGAGCUUGAGUGUUCUGCUGCCAGGGUUAUUGAAUCUAUUCAACAAGAAGAAUUCGGUCUGCAGCCUGAUCAAUCACUAGUUGAAAGUGCAUUGUUGAAGAAGCAACAUGCUCGCUUGGGGAGAGCACUUCAUUGUCUUUCACAGGAGUUGUAUUCUGAGGAUUCACAUUUUAUCCUUGAGCUGGUCUGUAUACUUCACCUUGAUCUUGUCUGUUCAGUGCUUCCUCAAUUCAUUGUAUAUCCGAUUCUUGUGUUGGGUUAUAUAUUUGUAAACUCACAAUUCAAUGUGGUUAAAAAGGGAGGUUUGAUGUCGAUUGUAAUACAAAGGUUGUUGUGGUGCUUCAUUGGAGGAAGUAAGUUGGAAUUGGAGGACAACUACAUGAAUUAGACCUACACUAACCUGUAGUUAACAGAUGGACUGAAAAAUAACUAAAAAGAUAAAUUAUUUAGCAAAAUGGAACCACCUGGAAAGUUUUUAGAUGGAACAGGAAGAAGGUAGGCAAAAGUUGGAACCUAUUAAAUAACACAAUGUUGUCCAUAUAGGUAUAAGAACUUAUUCCUACCCAACUCUGAUGGAAGGUUUGAAUGGUUUUUUUCCCCUGAAAAGUCUUAAGAAUUUCAUUAUUAGACACCAAGUCGGUGUCAAAGAAUGUACAAGUUGUUCUUAUGACUCAAGUUAAGUCAUUCAUAGGUAUCUAACUAACUUUGUUGACUAUCUAUACAAUUUGGAAUAAUCUACUCAUAGGCAUAUACUACUGUUCUUAACCCUCAUUAAAUAUUGGAAAAACUUGCUGCUGGAAGAUAAAUUCUGUUAAUUGAUUAACAGGGAUGUGGAUACUUGAAAAAUGUUAGUGUGCUGAAUAUAAAAUUUUCAAUUUUUGCAUAACAGGCAGUUGGGUGCAAAUUGCAACUAUGUCUUAGAGUAAUUAUGUGGCUUAGUACACAUUAUAACAGGUCUUUGGGUGCAUUUUUUUCUUAAAUAAUGAAUCCACUGUAUUGUCCUGAUUAACCUUAUUAACUCGUUGGCUUUGUACCUUGAGUUUAAUAAAAUGCUUCUUUAUUGCUAAUGUUGAACUUACCUUAGUGUAACCACUUCUCAGUGAGGUGACUAGAUAUUCCUUUGAGAUGUCAUGGAGUAAUCUUGAAUGUUGUUACCUUAUUACUUGCUAUAAUCUUUUGUUUGCUCUAGAGUUAGAACUUUUAGUUCUGCAAUUUUGUUAUCAGUAGAAUUUCUCUUAUUAGGAAUACUAAUAGCUUCUUUAUUAUAGAGUUUAAUAAGAUGGAGUGCACUGUGCAUUUUAGCAGUCAAAAGCAUGAAUAGAACUGAUUGCUUCCUUUACAAUGGCAUGUUAAUUCAGGUGCAGAAUGCUGAUGAUAAUACCUACCCUGAGACUGUCGAGCCCAGUUUGACUUUCAUUCUUCAGGAUAAAGGCAUUGUAGUUCUAAACAAUGAACGUGGUUUUUCUGCUGAUGACAUCAGAGCACUCUGUGAUGUUGGAAACUCUACUAAGAAAGGACGCAAUGCUGGAUACAUUGGCAAGAAAGGCAUUGGUUUCAAAUCAGUAUUCCGGGUAAUACACACAAACACCGUUACUGAAUUUUAUUUAGUUCCUUGCAGAAUUUGUGUGAAAUAUCAAAAAGUUUUGGCAGUAAGUGAUGCAUAUAAGAAAUGCUGAGAGGACUACUUAACACUAGAACUGUGGCCUACUCUUUUUAUUCUAUUUUGGGUAAGAGUUGCAAACAGUUACUGAGUAGACAAAGUACACAAAUCAAACCUUUUCAUUUGUAGCUUUCAGGAAUAAGUGGUAAAAACAUGAUGAACAAUGUGUCUGAACUCAAGUUACUGUUUACAAUCUGUCUUUCGCUAAACUUUUUGUUUUGUUUUUAUAGGUCACUGAUGCUCCGGAGAUUCACUCCAAUGGCUUCCAUAUUAAGUUUGAUAUCACUAAUGGGCAGAUAGGCUUUGUUUUGCCAACUGUUGUUCCUCCGUGUGACAUUGACUUCUAUACCAGAUUGGCAUCGACAGAUCCUGAUUGCAAUCAUUGGAAGACAUGCAUAGUGCUUCCCUUGAGAUCAAGUCUCUUGGAAAGGUCCAGCGGAAAAAAUAUUAUAUCAAUGUUUGCUGAUCUUCAUCCAUCAUUACUGCUUUUUCUUCACCGUCUUCACUGUAUCAAAUUUCGAAAUAUGUUAAGCGAUUCUAUUAUUGUUAUGAGGAAAGAAGUUGUGGGAAAUGGUAUCGUUAACGUUUCCUAUGGAGAGGAGAAAAUGACUUGUUAUGUUGUAUCCCAGAAAUUGCAGGCUGACACUAUUCGUCCUGAUACGCCAACAACAGAAAUUUCCAUAGCAUUUACAUUGCAGGAAACAGCUGAUGGAAGCUACAACCCACAUCUGGACCAACAACAUGUUUUUUCAUUCCUUCCUCUGAGAAAGUAUGGCUUGAAGUUUAUACUUCAGGGAGACUUUGUACUCCCUUCGUCCAGGGAAGGAGUUGAUGGUGAUAGUCCUUGGAACCAGUGGUUGUUGUCAGAGUUCCCUAGCUUGUUUGUUAGUGCUGAGAGGUCAUUUUGUGAUCUACCAUGUUUUAGGGAUAAUCCAGCAAAAGGCGUUACAGCUUAUAUGAGCUUCAUUCCCCUUGUAGGAGACGUUCAUGGUUUCUUUUGUAGUCUUCCUCGGAUGAUUCUUUCUAGAUUACGCACAUCGAACUGCUUGUUACUAGAAGGUACAGAAAAUGAAUGGGUUGCUCCAUGCAGAGUUUUGAGCAAUUGGACGGAAGAAUCUCGUAAGCUCUUGCCUGAUAGCUUGCUUCGUAAGCAUCUUGGUUUAGGGUUCUUGCAUAAAGAUAUAAUUUUGCCAGAUUUGUUAGCCAGGGUCCUAGGGAUUGAGAAGUAUGGACUGAAGGUUCUAUUUCAGGUUAUGACUUCUUUAUGCUCUUCAGAAGAUGGUCUAAAGUCAAUGGGUUUGGGAUGGUUAUGUGUGUGGUUAAAUACUGUAUAUAAUUUGUUAUCAAAUAGUGAAAGCUCAGCAGGUUUUCGGACAGCAACAGAUCUCAUGAAUGACCUCAGGAAAAUUCCAUUUAUUCCCCUUUCGGAUGGCAAGUAUGGAUCACUGGAUGAAGGAGUAAUUUGGUUGCAUCUUGAUCCACUGGGAUCUACAAUUGAUGAUAAGUAUGCAGCAGAAACUUUCCCAGGACUGUACGCUAGUCUUAGAACAGUGAGUUCUGCACUUCUUUCUGCUGCCGCUGCUCUUGGCACAUCACAUUGUGAAUCAUCAAUAUUAGAUAACGUUACUAGAAUUCUGUAUAGAGCUGGUGUUGAGCCUUUAUCGGCACAUCAAAUAGCAAAAAAACAUAUUGUGCCAUCUCUCUACAGAGAGCAGAAUGGACAAAGCCAUAGAGAAAUAAUGACAGAGGAUCUUGCCUUCUUUAUGUUGCAUUUGCAAUCGAAUUGCCCUGACUGCCAAUCAGAAAAGGAGCAAAUUAUCAGAGAAGUGCGUGACAGUGCUUUUUGCCAGUGUGACUCUUGCAUAUGUCAAUGUCCAGAACUCCAUAGCAACAGCCUGUUUCUUGCAUUUCUUCCUCUGAGGAAGUAUGGUCUGAAGUAUAAACUUCAGGGGGAUUUUGUAGUCCCUUCAUCUGGAGAUGAAGUUGCUGAUGAUAUUGCUUGGAACCAGUGGCUGUUGUCAGAGUUCCCUGGCUUAUUUGCUAGUACGGAAAGGUUAUUUUGUGAUCUUUCAUGUUUUAGGAAUAAUCCAGCAAAGGGUGUUACAGCAUAUAUGAGCUUUGUUCCCGUUGUAGGGGAGGACCAUGGUUUCUUUUCUAGUCUUCCUCGGAUGAUUCUCUCUAGAUUACGCAUGUCAAACUGCUUGAUACUAGAAGGUACAGAAAACGAAUGGGUUGCUCCAUGCAAAGUUCUGCGAAAUUGGACAGAAGAGUUCCGUAACCUUUUGCCUGAUAGCUUACUUCAGAAGCAUCUUGGGGUUGGAUUCUUGCACAAAGAUAUUGUUUUAUCAGAUUUAUUAGCCAGGGCUCUUGGAAUUGUGGAGUAUGGACUGAAGGCUCUAAUUCAGGUUAUAACUUCUCUAUGCUCUUCAGAAGAUGGUCUAAAGUUGAUGGGUUUGGGAUGGAUAUCUGCAUGGUUAAACACGAUUUAUACAUUGUUGUCAAAUGGAAAAGACUCAGCAGAUUUUGAGACAGAAUCAGACCUCAUGAAGGACCUUCAGAAAAUUCCAUUUAUUCCCCUUUCAGAUGGUAAUUAUGGAUCACUGGAUGAAGGUGCAAUUUGGUUGCAGUUUGAUUCGAUGGGCUAUAUGAUUGAUGGUGACUAUGUGCCAGAAACUUUCCCAAGAUUGCAUGCUAGUCUCAGAAUCGUGAGUCCUGCACUUCUUUCUGCUGCUGCUACUCUUGGCACAUCAAACCGUGAAUCAUCAGAAGUAGAUAAUGUUAUUAAGAUGCUGUAUAGAGCUGGUGUCCAACGGUUAUCGACACAUCAAAUAGUAAAGAAGCAUAUUCUGCCAUCUCUCUACAGUGAGAAAAAUGGAGAAAGAUAUAGAGACUUAAUGACAGAGUAUGUUGCCUUCUUGAUGUUCCACUGGCAAUCGAGUUGCCCUGACUGUCAAUUAGAAAAGGAGCAAAUUAUCAAUGAAGUGCGUGUCAGUGCUUUUUGCCAGUGUGACUCUUGCGUAUGUCAAUGUCCAGAACUCCACAGCAAUAGCCUGUAUUUUGCAUUUUUUCCUCUCAGAAAGUAUGGUCUGAAGUACAAACUUCAGGGUGAUUUUGUACUGCCUUCAUCUAAAGAAGCUGAUGGUGAUAAUGCUUGGAACCAAUGGUUGUUGUCAGAGUUUCCUGGCUUGUUUGUUAGUACUGAGGGGUCAUUUUGUAAUAUGCCGUGUUUUAGGGAUAAUCCAGCAAAGGGUGUUACAGUUUAUAUGAGCUUUGUUCCCCUUGUAGGAGAAGGUCAUGGUUUCUUUUCUAGUCUUCCUCAGAUGAUUCUAUCUAGAUUACGCAUGUCAAACUGUUUGAUAGUAGAAGGUGCAGGAACUGAAUGGAUUGCUCCGUGUAAAGUUUUGCGCAAUUGGACGGAAGAGUCUCGUAAGCUCUUGCCUGAUAGCCUGCUUCGCAAGCAUCUUGGUGUUGGAUUCAUGCAUAAGGAUAUAAUUUUACCAGAUUUAUUAGCUCGGGCUCUUGGGGUUGAGGAGUAUGGAUUGAAGGUUCUAUUUCAGGUUAUAACUUCUCUAUGCUCUUCAAAAGAUGGUCUAAGGUCAAUGGGUUUGGGUUGGUUGUCUGCAUUCUUAAACACGGUUUAUACAUUGUUGUCAGAUGGGAAAGACUUAGCAGGUUUUGGGACGGAAUCAGGUCUCAUGAGGGACCUUAAGAAAAUUCCAUUCAUUCCCCUUUCAGACGGUAAAUAUGGAUCUUUGGAUGAAGGUGCAAUUUGGUUGCAUUUUCAUUCACUGGGUGCCACAAUUAAUGAUGUGUAUGCACCAGAAACUUUCCCAAGAUUGUAUGCUAGUGUUAGAACUGUGAGUUCUGCACUUCUUUCUACUGCUGCUGCUCUUGGCACAUCAUGCUGUGGUUCAUCAGUAGUAGAUAAUGUUUCUAUGAUGCUGUACAGAGUUGGUGUCCAGCGGUUAUCGGCGCAUCAAAUAGUAAAGAUACAUAUACUACCUUAUCUUUACAGAGAACAAAAUGAACAAGGACAUAAAGAAAUUAUGACAGAGUAUCUUGCUUUCUUGAUGAUCCACUUACAGUCAAGUUGCUGCGACUGCCAAUCAGAAAAAGAGCAGAUUAUCAGGGAACUGCGUGACAAUGUCUUUAUUUUGACUAAUCAUGGCUGCAGGCGUCCUGGAGAGGUUCCCAUCCAUUUCAGCAAAGAAUAUGGAAAUCCCAUAGACAUGAGUCGAUUAAUUCAAGGAUUAGAUCUUACAUGGCAUGAAAUUGAGGAUACAUACUUAAAGCAUCCAGUCAACAGAAUGUUAUCUGGAAGUGUAUUAAAGUGGCGAAAGUUUUUCCAGGAAAUGGGAAUCAGUGAUUUUGUACAGGUUCUUCAAGUUGAGAAAAGUAUGUCUGAUGUAUGCCCUCUUCCCAUGAAUGUGACAUGGCAUAAAGAUUUGAUUCCCGUAGGGUCAAUUGCAAAAGAUUGGAUGUCUGAAGAAUUUGUCAAUAUGCUAUUACUACUGUCUUCUACUCAUGACACGGGAAAAUGCAACUAUCUCUUGGAGGUACUUGAUAGAUUGUGGGAUGAUUAUUUCAGUGAUAAGGUUACCGGCUUCUAUUUCACUUCCAAUGGAGAAAGGAAAAUUUUUGAUUCAUCAUUCAGCAGAAUCCUUUGUGAUGUUCGAUGGAUAGCAUCAAGUCUCGAUAAUGAGCUCCACUGUCCAAGGGAGUUAUUCCAUGAUUGUGAGGCUGUGCGCUCAAUUUUUGGUGGUAAUGCGCCUUAUACUGUUCCCAAGGUUAGUGAUAUUGACUGAAUUUGCGGUAGAGAUCUUGAGUCCUAAAUAGAAUGUCUUAAAUCAGUCUCGUUUAAUUGUAUUUUUAGUACUCAUCACACUUUUGAGGUUUUUGUUGGUCUAGCACUCUACCAAAAGAAAAUAACCCAGAAAAAAAAGUAAAAAAGUUUAACCUCAGGCUUAUUUUUGGAUGAUUGACAAGAUAGUCUAUAGUUUUAUCUGAAGAAGUUGCUUAACCUGGUAAUUGUCUUGUCAGUGAAACAUUCUUACGAGGAGAUUUGACCUGCUAAUUUUCAUGUCAAUGAUUAUUUAUAUGCAUAUCUACUAAUAACAGCUUAGCCCAUACCAAAAAUAUGAUGUGGUUGAUUUUUCACAUAUACUGGUAUAAUGAACUAACUCUUCUAAUUUGUGCAAUAUUAUUGCUAUUGUAGAGAAUUAACUUAGUGGACAGCCUAAACAUGAUUUAUUUUAUGCCAUCCAAGGCUUGGUUCAAUGGUAGAACAGUGUGGGAUGUGUGGUAGCUUAGGCACAUGUUACGAUCUUGAAUCUUGCUGGUGAACCAGUCUGGUAUUUAAGUGGAGAAGAUUUGGUUAGGUCCAUUAUCCACUGGGUUCCGAAGCUAGAAAACAGUUGAUUUCGAGGUUAUCUCAAAAGAAAAGAAAAAUGGUCUAGCUUUAUUUUAAUGAUUUUUUCUAGUUUAGUUUCACCGUAUUGUCUUCACUAGCACUACCUUUUCCCUGGUUUUGGUUAGAGAACUGUAUGACUUAGAAGCCAGCUUGAGUUAAUUUGACUUCCAGGACAAGCUAGAUUUCGUUUCUGAUUUUUCUAUUAUGCUCAAUUAUUGUUCUGUUUUUAGCCAAUAUUUGCUUGUUGAGAAGAUCCCUUAUUUUGUGUUAGUUCACAUUUGUGAAAUGCUUGUUUUUAUUUAUGUUCCAUUGAUAUGUGAUAGUACCUUUAUGAUAUUACUUUAACUUCUUCCUGGUACAGGGUAGCACCAAAAACAUAUUUUUGCUUGUGUUUUUAGCUUGAAUUUGGUUUGACUUUCCCUGUCAUCGCUCUUAGUUAGAGCUAAUGCUUCUUUUUGUGGGACAGGUGAGAAGUGAAAGAUUGUUAACAGCUCUUGGUUUGAAAACCCAAGUAACAGCCGAUGACACGCUAUCAAUUCUUAAAGUUUGGAGAGCCAAAGCUCCCUUGAGAGCUAGGUAUUUGAUCUUCCUUCAGCAGAAAGCGAUGUGAAUACAGCAAGAUGGUUUAUGCUUUCAUUUACUGAAAAAAAAACAUUGUUUUAUCGUUUCAGCUAUUUCUUUUCCUAUGGAUUUAAAUAAGAAUUAGUCAACUAAAAUACAAAUAGUGUAUGCUGCAUGAAUUGGUCACAUAUAUCACAUACUAAGGUUGGUGGUAAUGGUCUGCUAUAUCUGAUUAAUCGAUAGUCAUUUCUUUUUCUUUUUCUUUUCUUUUUAAGUGAAGAUCAUAGUGUAUAAUAACUACCUAUUAUUUAUUGGGUAGUUAAUAACUACCUAGUUUCAAAAGAGUGUAUAAUAACUACCUUCAUUUAGUACAUUGAAGCCUAGUCAAACUCGUUAAGAUGGCCUUUUGACUCCUGUUUAUAUUGUUUUCCUCAAAAUGGUCAGAUAUUUGUUAGUCCUACUGAAACCCUAAAAAAAAUGGACUCCGUUUUUUUAAAUAAACCGAAGCAUGGCUACAGAAUUUUUAGUGAGAAAGCAUUAUUGAUAUUGUUGCUUUGAUCGUACCUGUCUGCAUGGGAGGCUGACAUUGAGCUCAGAAUGAUAUUCUUUCUGUGUGUUCCUGUUUCCCUUAAAUGUAUGCCUGUCUCGUAGAGGUGUCUUGUAGAGGUAACUAUUCUCUUUCUACAAGAAAAGAAGGAAAGCUAGAACAAAUGAAUUGUCUAGUGAUUGCCUCUUUCAAUGUUUAAUCAGCAAUAGUCAAGCCAUAACAUGUUUCCUUUCAACAAUUUUAGGGUCCUGAAUGACUAAAUGAAAUAGAAAAUUCUAAAAUUUUAAGCAUGUCCUUCAUCAUGAGAUCUUCUUCGCAUAAUUAUUUUGAACUUGAACACUCAUCCAUUGAAUUCUAUUUAAAAAAAACACUCAUCCAUUGAAUACUUUUUUCAGUGUGUCACAAAUGUCCAGAUUUUACACAUUCAUGUGGAAUACGAUGAAUACUUCUGAGAGAAAAGUGGUUGAAGAAUUACGUGAUGCGCCUUGUGUGUUUAUUCCUUUGAAGUUUGGUGCUUCACUUGAAGAUGCUGUACCUGGUGUUCUGUUGUCACUUAAAGAAGUCUUUUGGUGCGAUUCAACUGGUUCUGUGGACCAAGUGAAGAUGGUCAAUACAAAAUUUGUCCAACAACAUCCUGUUACCAGAAUAUUAUGUAGCUUGUACCCAGGCCUUCAUGACUUUUUUGUUAAUAGAUGUGGAGUGGAUGAGUUCCCUCAUUUCCAUGGAUACCUUCAAAUAUUGCUGCAUUUGUCUGCGGUUGCUUUACCUUUACAAGAAGCUAAGAAGGUAAGCCAUCUUUUUUUUCCCUUAUAAACUUAAUUUGUCAUAGUUGGUAAAAUGAAUUUUCUGCUAACAAUGCCAGGUUUUGGUUAGCUCUGAGGUUAAAAAUGAUUGCACAUUUGUUUUUCAGGUUUUCCAUAUAUUUCUCAAGUGGGCUGAUGAGCUAAAAUCUGGCUCUUUGAGAUUUGAAGAUGUUGAUUUCUUGGAAAAGAGUCUUAAGGAAAAGCAGUACCUGAUUCUUCCCACUGCAAAAAAUAAAUGGGUAUCUCUCAACCAAUCCUUUGGGCUCAUCUGUUGGUGUGAUGAUGAUAAGUUAAGAACAGAAUUUGAGCAUUUUGAUAAUAUUAACUUUCUCUACUUUGGGGAACUCAAUGAUGAGAAUAAGGAAAUUCUCCGAACAAAAGUUUCGAUCUUCAUGCGUAGAGUUAAUAUUCCUUCUCUUUCAGAGGUAAGCAAACUUACACCCUUCCUCUCUUUUCAUUCUUGUCCACAUGCAUAUCAGAUUAAGACUAGAUAUUUCUGAGAGAGAUGACAUAUGUUCCCAGUGGAUUCUCCUACAUAAAUGGGCCAGUCUGCUCCAUUUUUCAUUGUUUACAAUUUCCUGUCUUUCUUCCAGAUUAACUUGAACUUUACUAUCUAUUUGGUCAAUAGAAGUUUUUUCACUAAGACCAUCCCAAAUAAAUUGAAGAACUUUUUUAUUAUUGGUGUCAUCGAUUUUGUAUUUUAUGUAAUUGUUUUUAAUAUGACCUUUUAAUUGCUUCAAAUAAUUACUCACAAAUAAUCCUAACUAAAAGCAGUCAGCUCUUUCAAUCUCAACUUUGAGAAAUUGGAUUAAUGCAACAUUAUUAUAUAUUGGAUGUUGAGAUUAGUUGCUUUAAGCAUAAAUUGAUUUUUAUAGUUUUUAACUUCAUACCUUUUUAUUGUUUUUUAAAUUUUCCUAUACUUGUGGACUUUACUUCAAAGAAGUGCACACUCACUUUUUGGUUUUCUCUUCAAGCCCCAGGGACCUUGUUGUUUCUCUGUGCUUUUCACUUCCAAAAACAUUGUUCAAAAGUUAGCUGAUCGAUGCCCAAAAUAAAGCCGAAGACUCAUUAAUUUAAUUCUUGUAGAUGGAAUUAUGUAAUGCUUUGGGUGGACAAAGUAGUUACAAAUUGUAACUUCUUGGAAAUUCCUGAUAUGUAAUGCUUAAGCUGAUAAUGGUAAUUAUAAUGAUUUGAAGUUGGUUCAUGGUUGGAUGUCAGGGAAAUAAGCCUCCAAGUGGCUCUUUUAUCCUUGAAGUUGUCAGGUCUAAUACAACUCAAAUAUUUGAGCAAAUAAGAUUAACCACUCUACUAUUACAACUUAUCUGAUCUAAUGACUGGCAAAUUGGCAAUGGGUGCCAAAAGAGUAAUACUAGUUCAUCUGCUUAAUUGAUUUCCAUUUUUUCUCUUUUUCAACCUAAUUAUCUUUUGUUGGAGGUAUGAAUGAAUUCUUAAAAAUUCUGGUAUGAUGAUUUCUUUCAUUUGAAAUCGCAACUGACAAUUUGAUCAAGAAAAUGAAUAGGCACAAGUCAGAACAUGAUGUUGUAUGAAGGAAAAAAAAAGUCCUUCAACACAAUAUAGAUCUUGAUAUUUAUCAACUUCUCAAAUCUGACAAUAAUUUUUUUCUAGUUCAAAUGUGUAUCAAGUAUUCUAAUCAAUAUGGUUUCCUUUCCACUUUGGAACAUUUAUAUAGGAACUCAUUUACUUCCUUUGUUUCAUAUUGAUCGUCUUAUUUACUAUUUUGGGUUGUUCCAAUUGUGUCCACUUCCAUAGAACGGCUAUUUUCCCAUACUAUUCAAUACUUUCAUACCAUCCUACUAUCAAAAAGGUACCAUUAGGCCCAAUCUUUCUCAACGUUAACCUCUCUUUUGCAGGUUGUAACACGUGAAAUCAUAUAUGAUGAUCCAACAGACACUUGUUUUAUAGCUUCAAUGGUUAACUGGGCCCUCCCAUAUGCUCAACGAUAUAUGUAUAACAAUUACACAGACAAGUAUUUGCAGCUCAGCCAGUCUGUAUUUGAGAACUUGAGAUGCCUACAGAUCGUUGUCGUUGAAAAGCUGUUCUACAGGAAUGUUAUUAGAAGUGUCCACAUAGAAUCAGAGAAACAGUUUGAGUGCAAUUGUCUGCUAGAGGUAUUUUAACAUGCCAGCAUCUACGGAUACUUUUAUCAAUGGAAUGUUUCAUACUUGAGAUUUCUCUUAUUUGAAAAGCUUGUAUUGUAUUUGAAUAUUCAUUAAAAUAUGUCCUUGUUGGGAUGACUGAGUGGCUAAAGCUUCCGGGAGUAUCAGCUUGGUGAUCCUAGGUUCAGAUCUUCACUAUUACACUCAUUGUGCACCCAUCUUCUCUAGCCUGAUUACACAACUUCUUGGCUUGUGAGGUCUAGCAAGUUGCUCUAUGAAUUAGCUGAGCUGUUUGCAAGCUGUUCUCGACACCUCCGUCCAAAAAAGAAUUAGUUGGACCUUUUAAGAUAAAAGGAUUACUAUGAUGAUUUUUAUUUUUAUUUGAAACUGGUAACUUACUAUGAUGAUAUUUUUUUAAUCAUCACUACUUGUGUUUUUUGGGGACUAAGGGUCAGUUUUGAAAUAUAUGAAAUUGAAGACUGCUUUCUGCAUAUUUCAAGACUGUAACACAUACUUCUAAUAUACUCUUGUUUAUUUCUUCUUGAGCUCACUCUAAUGGUGGGCAGGUUCUGGUGUGAAAGAUGGCCUUGACACCAUCGUCAAAAGGAAAAAUAGUUGACUUUCAAGUAAAAUGAUUACUACUUCUUGUUCCUCAUUAAAAGAGGAAAAAAAUACUUCUCUGUUCCAAUUUGUGCGUCGUACUUUACUUUUUAGUCCAUUUCAAAAAGGCUGUAUCUUUCCUUUUUUGGCAACUCUUUAACUCCAACUUUCCAUGUGGUACGUUUAAGACCACAAAAUUAAAGGACAUUUUGGUACAUCCUACAUAUCUUUUGUUUAAGACACAAAAUUCAAAUUUCUUUUUUAAUUCUUAAACUCCGUGCCAACUCAAAAUCAGCCAAACAAAUUGAAAUGGAGGGAGUAAUAGAUAACUCUUUUUUCAGUUCGUGGGAACUGUCCUAUUUGCCAUUUUUCUUUUGCCCGACUCGUGGAGAUCUAACAUGAUUACAAGUGCAUAUAUAACACUUAUUUUGGUAUAUGCUUUUUGUAUCUGGUUUCUGUCUAUUUAGUUGUCAGUAAAAUCUUAUCCCUUGUUAAAUGGUAAAACAAAUAUAUAGAUAACUUGUUCAUUUUCACUCUUUCACAGGGAAACAUCUUGUAUGCCACUCGAGGAUCAGAUUCUCAUUCAAUAUUCAUGGAGAUUUCUCGUUUGUUCUAUUCUAGAGCUCCUGACUUGCACUUAGCGAACUUUCUUCAUAUGAUCACGACAAUGGCAAAGUCAGGUUCCACUGAGGAGCAAAUUGAGUUUUUCAUUUUGAAUAGCCAGAAAAUGCCCAAGCUUCCUGUAGGUGAAUCUGUUUGGUCACUUUCUAACAUUCCAUUGUCAACUGAUAGUGUGACAUGGCUGAUGACUAGUUGUGCUUCUAAAACAAUUAGUGAGACAAACACUGUGAAUUCCAAGAACAAACCUGGAGGCAACUCAUAUUGCUCAACUAGGAAAACUGAUCAUGGUGGCCAUGAUUCUCGUGCAAGUGUUAUGAAGACACAGGCAGCCAGUAGCAUCCAACCAAGGAAGGAAGAGACUAGCAAAGAAGUUAUAGAAGAAACAUCUACUCAGGUUCCAACUCAGAUCACUUGCGUUAGCAACGAUCCAGCAGCCUGUGCAGACUGGAAAACUGAACAUAGUUUCCAUGGUUCUUGUGCAAGUGUUAUGAGGACACAUGCAGACAGUUAUAUCCAACCAAGGAGGGAGGAGACUAUUGAAGAAGUUAUAGAAGAAACAUCUGUACUGGUUCCAACUCAGAUCACUUGUGUUCACAGUGAUCCAGUACCCGCUGAUAGGAAAACUGGUCAUGGUUUCUAUGGUUCCCAUGCUAGUUUUAUGAAAACACAGGCAUCCAAUGAUAUCCAACCAAGAAAGGAGGAGACUGUUGAAGGAGUUAUGGCAGAAACAUCUGCUCUGGCUCCAACUGAGAUCACUUGUGGUCGGAAUGAUCCAGCACCCACUGUUGACAGGAAAACUGAUCAUGGUUUCCGAGGUAGUGUUAUGAAAACACAGGCAGCUAGUGGCAUCCAACCAAGAAAGCCGGCUUCAACUGAGAUCACUCGUGGUCGCAAUAAUCCAGCAUCUGGUGCAACUUUACUAGGUUCACGAGAUACUGAUCAUGUAUGUAAUAGGGUCGUAUCUUCUACUAUCAACGCUUCAAGUAGUUCUGCUUAUAAUGUGACUAUACCACAAGAUCUGAAUUAUAGUUCAUUUGAUAUGAGAGAAAGAGGUCAGCCUUCGGUAGGCAUGGGUUAUCCUCAACAGGCAUCGUUAACUGGCAGAUUCUCCAGUCAUGUACAUAAUGUGUUGGUGCCGUCUACUGUGAAUGCAGCAAUUAAUAACGUGACAGCACCACAAGACCUGAACUAUAAUUCAUUUGAUGCCAGAGAAAGAGUUCAGAUGUCUUCUGGCAUGGUUUAUCCUCAACAGCCAUUGUCAACUGGCAGAUUCUCUGAUCAUGUACAUAAUGUGCUGGUGCCGUCUACUGUGAAUGCAGCAUUUACUAAUGUGACAGCACCACAAGACCUGAACUAUAAUUCAUUUGAUGCGAGAGAAAGAGUUCAGUUGUCUUUUGGCAUGGUUGAUCCUCAACAGGCAUUGUUUACUGGUAGACUCGGAGAAUCUGCUGCAUUCAAUUACUUUGUGGGGAAACUUGGCAAGCCUUUUGUGAAAUGGGUUAAUGAAACUAAUGAGACGGGGCUUCC